GGACCUGCACAACCAGUGGAGCAUGUGGUUUAAUUCGAGACGAACCGAAGAACCUUACCUGGGUUUGACAUCCCGAUGACCGUUCUAGAGAUAGUUCUUUCCAAUAUUUUAUUGGACAUCGGUGACAGGUGCUGCAUGGCUGUCGUCAGCUCGUGCCGUAGGGUGUUCCCUUCAGUGGGGUAACGAGCGCAACCCCUGCCGUAUGUUAAAUGUUCAUACGGGACUAACCGGUUUAUCCGGUAGGAAGUGGGGAUGACGUCAAGUCAGCAUGGCCCUUAUAUCCAGGGCUACACACAUGCUACAAUGGGGCCGACAGAGGGUUGCCAAGUGGUAACACGGAGCUAAUCCCAAAAACGGCCUCUCAGUGGGGAUUGAGGGCUGCAAUUCGCCCUCAUGAACGAGGAAUUGGUAGUAA
rnacentral:rRNA from 1 species